GUGAACCAAUCCUAACCAAGACCUUCCAGUUACUGGAAGGUCUUGGUUAGGAUUGGUUCACA
rnacentral:miRNA from 1 species